GGAUGAAGCUGGAAACCAUCAUUCUUAGCAAACUAUCGCAAGGACAAAAAAACCAAACACCGCGUGAUCCCACUCAUAGGUGGGAAUUGAACUAGGAGAACACUUGGACGCAGAAAGGGGAACAUCACACACCGGGGCCUGUCAUGGGCGGGGGGAGGGGGAGGGAUAACAUUAAGAGAUAUACCUAAUGUAAAUGACUAGUGAAUGGGUGCAGCACACCAACAUGGCACGUGCUUACAUACGUAAUAAACCUGCACGUUGUGCACAUGUACCCUAGUAUCCCCAUUUUACAGAUGAGGAACCUGAAGCCCAGGUGAUAAGUAGUUUAUCCAAGGUAUCAUAGCUAGCCCACUCUUCCAGCCCUUGCUUGGUCACAGGUUACACAGAUGCCAAGAGAACCCGGGUGGCCAGCAGUAGCCAACGCUCCAGUGGCUCCAAGGUCGGCAGACAGCCAGGGAAGACGCGCAACAGGUCAGGGAUGGCAUGCAAGACCACCGCCACCAUCAGCUCUAAGCGAAUCGUCCGUCGUCCAUCCUUACCGAGUUUGAAGAAACCCAUUAUCCUCCGAAGCUCUGGGUGCCAAGUCCCCACCGUCCUCCGCCGAGGCUAUCUCCAACUGUUCACCGAAGAGUGUCUCAAGUUCUGCGCCUCCAAGCAGGAGGCCGAGGAGAAGGCGCUGAACGAGGAGAAGGUGGCCUACGACUGC
rnacentral:lncRNA from 1 species